GAAGGAUGCAACUUGGGAGAUUUUGGUAUAAGCAAGAGAGAGCUCCUAUUUGCUUAUUUCCUGGCAGCAGCCAGCAUAUUUGAGCCAGAAAGGUCGAAAGAGAGGCUUGCAUGGGCUAAGACCACAAUCUUGCUUGAGACCAUCGACUCUUAUUUCGAUGACAACAAUAAUUCCAUUGAGCAGAGAAGAGCUUUUGUCCAAGAAUUUAAAAACGGGGAUGGUGCACGAGGACCUGCAAAUGGAAGGACAAUGGAAGCAAAGACAAGGCAGGAACUUGUCAGGACAGUGCUUGGAACCCUAAAUGAUGUCUCUUUGGACGCACUGGUGGCUUAUGGAAGAGACAUUAGCCACAGUUUACGUCAUGCUUGGGGAAAAUGGCUCCUUGAGUGGGAAGAGGAAGGAGUCAGGCACCAAGGAGAAGCAGAAUUGAUAGUGAAAACAAUAAAUCUGUCAGCUGGAAGAUGGAUCUCUGAGGAGCUUUUGAGCUAUCAUUCUCAAUAUGAAAAACUUUUUAAACUUACAAACAGAAUAUGCAACCAACUUGGACAUUACAGGAAGAACAAGGAAGAUGACAGCAAGAGAAGCACAACCCCAGAAAUAGAGGGUGACAUGCAAGAGCUGGUGAAGUUAGUGCUCCAAAAGUCCUCAGAAGGAAUGGAUUCUAACAUCAAGGAAACAUUUUUCACAGUGGUUAAGAGUUUUUACUACCCUGCCAUCUGUGAUCCUGGGACUAUCAGCUAUCACAUUUCUAAAGUACUCUUUGAAAAAGUGUGCUAAUUAAUUUAUUCAUCUUCUUUGUGCAAGAUCUAUGCGAUCAUUUCGUGCAUAUUCUUGUCAAUUAUUGCAAUGUAACUACGCCCC
rnacentral:misc_RNA from 1 species